UUGUCUUUGAUUUUGAAUAGUUCUUUUUCCUGCUGUCUCGUACUGAUAUGCUAUUAUUUGCAGAUUUAUCUUCUCAAUUUUCAGAUUUUCUAUGCACUCUUUUCUGCAAUUGUUGGCUUCUUGCUUGGGGCAAGUGAUGGUCUAGCGAGAUUCAUUCUGUUGAUGCUGUUCAUGAGCUUUUUGAGCAGUUUCCUGAAGCUUUCAUGAAGUAUCUUCAUGUGCCAACCAAAGAGAGUUCUUUUUAUGCUUCCAAUCAGGUGAGUUGACCAUUAUAUUUGGAGCGUUGUGAUUACGUAUUCUUCUAAUUGAAUUUAUGCAAUCUUUGCUGUUAUAUUUAACACUUUUUAUGAAUAAAGAUGGAAUGUCUAUGAUUCCACAUGUAAUAUGCUUCAAUUUUUCCACUUGGUGUGUUAGACUUAUCCUUUAUUUUGUGUAUAUCAUUGAAUUGUCUGGGAUGCUUAGGAGCUUUCUUUAUUGCAUGUUA